AUGACUGUCCUGAAAAAUUGAAAGCCUCUAUUUAGCCAUAGAAGAGGAGUAAACCCAUCACAUCCACAUCCACCAUGUGCCUCAACCUUGACCCAGAGCAACCAUUUUUUAGGAAUGAGUGGGUAAUUCAGUCUUCAUGCCUUUUAAAUUUUUGGCCUCA
rnacentral:sRNA from 1 species